rnacentral:rRNA from 1 species
CCUACGGGAGGCAGCAGUGGGGAAUAUUGCACAAUGGGGGAAACCCUGAUGCAGCGACGCCGCGUGAAGGAAGAAGUACCUCGGUAUGUUAACCUCUAUCAGCAGGGAAGAAAAUGACGGUACCUGACUAAGAAGCCCCGGCUAACUACGUGCCAGCAGCCGCGGUAAUACGUAGGGGGCAAGCGUUAUCCGGAUUUACUGGGUGUAAAGGGAGCGUAGGCGGUUUAGCAAGUCAGAAGUGAAAGCCCGGGGCUCAACUCCGGGACUGCUUGUGAAACGGUUGAACUAGAGUGCAGGAGAGGUAAGUGGAAUUCCUAGUGUAGCGGUGAAAUGCGUAGAUAUUAGGAGGAACACCAGUGGCGAAGGCAGCUUGCUGGACUGUAAAUGACGCUGAGGCUCGAAAGCGUGGGGAGCGAACAGGAUUAGAUACCCCUGUAGUC